GUAUUACUCUCUUCAUUCCGAAUUACUUGUCUUGAAUUUAUCUAGAUACGAAUGUAUGUAGACUCAUUUUAAUGUUAGAUAUCUCCGUAUCUAGAUAAAUCUAAAACAAGUAAUUCAGAACGGAUGGAGUAUCUU
rnacentral:pre_miRNA from 1 species